AGUGAACGCUGGCGGUAGGCCUAACACAUGCAAGUCGAACGGCAGCACAGUGAGAGCUUGCUCUUACGGGUGGCGAGUGGCGGACGGGUGAGGAAUACAUCGGAAUCUACUUUUUCGUGGGGGAUAACGUAGGGAAACUUACGCUAAUACCGCAUACGACCUACGGGUGAAAGCAGGGGAUCUUCGGACCUUGCGCGAUUGAAUGAGCCGAUGUCGGAUUAGCUAGUUGGCGGGGUAAAGGCCCACCAAGGCGACGAUCCGUAGCUGGCCUGAGAGGAUGAUCAGCCACACUGGAACUGAGACACGGUCCAGACUCCUACGGGAGGCAGCAGUGGGGAAUAUUGGACAAUGGGCGCAAGCCUGAUCCAGCCAUACCGCGUGGGUGAAGAAGGCCUUCGGGUUGUAAAGCCCUUUUGUUGGGAAAGAAAAGCAGCAGGUUAAUACCCCGCUGCUCUGACGGUACCCAAAGAAUAAGCACCGGCUAACUUCGUG
rnacentral:rRNA from 1 species